rnacentral:rRNA from 1 species
GGAUUCAACGCCGGAAAUCUCACCGGGGCGACAGCAAUAUGAAGGUCAGGCUGAAGACCUUACCCGAUUUAGCUGAGAGGUGGUGCAUGGCCGUCGUCAGUUCGUACUGUGAAGCAUCCUGUUAAGUCAGGCAACGAGCGAGACCCACGUCCACAGUUGCCAGCAUACCCUCCGGGGUGAUGGGUACACUGUGGAGACCGCGCUGCUAAAGCGGAGGAAGGAGUGGGCAACGGUAGGUCAGUAUGCCCCGAAUCUCCCGGGCUACACGCGGGCUACAAUGGUUGGUACAAUGGGCAUCUACCCCGAAAGGGGAAGGAAAUCUCUUAAAGCCAAUCGUAGUUCGGAUUGAGGGCUGCAACUCGCCCUCAUGAAGCUGGAAUCCGUAGUAAUCGCGUUUCAACAGAACGCGGUGAAUACGUCCCUGCUCCUU